GAUGGACCCUAAAAAGUCCUUUAAACACAAAGGUUUGGUCCUAGCCUUGAAGUCAGUUAUUACUUAAUAUACACAUGCAAGUAUCCGCCCCCCUGUGAAAACGCCCUUUAAUCCCCUCUAGGGACAAGGAGCUGGUAUCAGGCACGAAAAUCUGCCCAAGACACCUAGCUAUGCCACACCCACAAGGGAAUUCAGCAGUGAUUAACAUUGAGCAUUAGCGCAAGCUUGACUCAGUUAAAGUAAGAUUAGAGCCGGCUAAUCUGGUGCCAGCCGCCGCGGUUACACCAUGUGGCUCAAAUUGACCCCCUCCGGCGUAAAGCGUGAUUAAAGUUAUCUGUUAAUAGAGUUAAACUGAAACUAAGCUGUGACACGCCUGUUUAUCAAGAAACCCGAAAACGAAAGUUACUCUAACUUAAUCAACUUGACUUCACGACAGCUGGGAAACAAACUGGGAUUAGAUACCCCACUAUGCCCAGCCGUAAACUUUUAUUUACACCCAAAUCGNCCGGGAACUACGAGCUAAGCUUAAAACCCAAAGGACUUGACGGUACCCCAUAUCCCCCUAGAGGAGCCUGUCCUAUAAUCGAUAAUCCACGUUUAACCUCACCACUUCUAGUUAAUCAGCCUGUAUACCUCCGUCGUCAGCUUACCACGUGAGCGUAAAUUAGUGAGCCCAAUGUUGUUUCACCAACACGUCAGGUCAAGGUGCAGCAAAUGAAGUGGGAAGAGAUGGGCUACACUUUCUAUUUUAGAAGAAACGAAAAACUACUUAUGAAACCUAGUUAGAAGGCGGAUUUAGCAGUAAAAAGAAAUCAGCAUGUUCAUUUUAACCCGGCACUGGGGUGUGUACACACCGCCCGUCACCCUCUUCAAAGCAUAGACAAAGUCUUUAACAAGCUUGAGCAUAACAGAAGAGGCAAGUCGUAACAUGGUAAGUAUACCGGCCAGUUGUGNGAUGG
rnacentral:ncRNA from 1 species